GGCGCGGUGGCCAAAUGGUAAGGCGUCGGUCUCGUAAACCGAAGAUCGUGGGUUCAAAUCCCGUCCGUGCCC